UGUCUUGAUUUUAGGACCUCGAGGAAAAAGAGGACGACCAGGGUUAAAGGGACCCGAAGGACCACCUGGAAGACCUGGGUUUCCAGGGGCAAUAGGAAUGGAGGGACCAAGAGGAGAACAAGGGCAAAAAGGAGUAAAAGGAGACAAGGUAGGUGAAUGGAUUCAUAACAUUAUGUAU